UAGAGGAAGUAAAAGUCGUAACAAGGUCUCCGUUGGUGAACCAGCGGAGGGAUCAUUACCGAGUUUACAACUCCCAGAACCCAAUGUGAACCAUACCAAACUGUUGCCUCGGCGGGGUCACGCCCCGGGUGCGUCGCAGCCCCGGAACCAGGCGCCCGCCGGAGGGACCAACCAAACUCUUUCUGUAGUCCCCUCGCGGACGUUAUUUCUUACAGCUCUGAGCAAAAAUUCAAAAUGAAUCAAAACUUUCAACAACGGAUCUCUUGGUUCUGGCAUCGAUGAAGAACGCAGCGAAAUGCGAUAAGUAAUGUGAAUUGCAGAAUUCAGUGAAUCAUCGAAUCUUUGAACGCACAUUGCGCCCGCCAGUAUUCUGGCGGGCAUGCCUGUCCGAGCGUCAUUUCAACCCUCGAACCCCUCCGGGGGGUCGGCGUUGGGGAUCGGGAACCCCUAAGACGGGAUCCCGGCCCCGAAAUACAGUGGCGGUCUCGCCGCAGCCUCUCCUGCGCAGUAGUUUGCACAACUCGCACCGGGAGCGCGGCGCGUCCACGUCCGUAAAACACCCAACUUCUGAAAUGUUGACCUCGGAUCAGGUAGGAAUACCCGCUGAACUUAAGCAUAUCAAUA
rnacentral:rRNA from 1 species